ACAAGAAAACGGCCAUUGGCCGACUACAUUUUCCGACCACAAGAAAAGUAGUCGGAAAAUAUUUAAUAUACCGACUAAAUAUUAUUUGGUCGCUAAAUAUAUAUUUUGCCGACUACUUAAAAGUGGUCGGAAAAUUACGACUACCUAGCAGAUAAUUAGCGACUAAAAUGUGGUCGUGAAUUAAUUCAACCAAAUACCUAAACCCAAAAACCUUACCUACGACUUUUACAGACCAAAGGUAGUCGGAAUAUACCGACUAUUUUCACACUGGUCGCUAAAUUAGUGUUUUGCGACUAAAUUAUUUUGGUCGGUAUUUACCUACUACCUUUUGUAGUCGGAAAAGGUGUGGACAAAAAAAAAAACCUGAACAAAUCUUGUAAAACCCCUUUUUGGUCGGAAACUUCAAAACCCAUAACUCUACCAAAACCCAUUACUCGACCAACUAAAAAACAAAUCAUAAAAACCUAAGAUCUGGAAUAGACCAACCAUCGUCGAUUAAUUCACGUCAACCAACCAUCGUCGCCGGCCACCCACCCACCAUCGCCGGCGACCCCACGACACAACCACCGCACGACCCCCGAUCGACAGGCAGCCCAAAUUCACCAAGCAACCACCGCAGACGACGCGACGCUGGCCACCCAUUAGACGACGCGACGCUGGCCACAUUCAUCAACCACCAAAGACGCGAGGCAGGCAACCACCACCUUCAUCAACCACCACCGACGCGACGCAGGCGACUCUUCAGACCACAUAUCUAGUUGCUCAAGAACCUGGUGAUGAAAAUAUACUACGAACACGUACAUAUGAUGUCAGCAUAACGAAACAUAUGAAAAGACUGUUGCUGAAUGCCGUGAAAAAGGCAUUGAAAAGGAUCCAAAUCAAAUAUUUUUUGAGACAGUUGGUGGGAGAAAGAAGGGAAAGGUCCAUGGCUUGGGGAGUGGCUCACAUUUGUAUUAUGCUCCACCUUCGAGGGGAGGUGGUUCUUCUAGCUCAUACAUACCUUCCCUUUAUUCGCAAUUUCAAGAACAAUUUACUCAAAAGACCCAAGCGUUGGAGGCGACACAAGCUCAGAUACUAAGGGAGAGAGAAGAAGAGAGACUGGAGCGACAAAGGGAGAAGGAAGAGCUACAAAGGGAGAAGGAAGAGCUACAAAGGCAGAGAGAUGCAGAGCGACUAGAGCGCCAAAGGGAAAAAGAAGAAAAAGAAGAAAAUGAUAGGGUCCAAGCAAAGGUGAUUGCCGAGUUGAAAGAGGCAAUGGAGAACUAUGGAAGGAUGUUCAGUCAGUGUAGUCAAUUUCAGUCUCAGGACCGUCAAGAUCCCCCGAUGGAGGGGCAGGGCUAGAUUUUCAGUAGAUCGUGUUUUGAAUAUUGUGGUCGCCUACGGGCUAGAUUUUCAAAAAUAUUUUGUAUAUAUUUAUGUAUUAACUCGUAGUAAUGCAUUAUAUAUUUCUAUCAGUAUUGUGGUCGCAGGAAUAUAUUGAAUAUUGUGGUCGCAGGAAUAUAUUGAAUAUUGUGGUCGCGGGAAUUAUAUUGAAUAGCAGGAAAUUGAAUAUUGUGGUUAAAUAUUUGAUAUGGUAACGACCAUUUAAAUAGUCGUAACUUUCCAAAUCUGGUCUUGCUGGAUUUGAAGUUUUCCGACUACAAAAGUAGUCGCUAAAUUCCGACUACCAAAGUAGUCGUGAAAAUACGACUACAAAUAUGGUCGCAAAUUUAACGACCAUAACAGUAGUCGCUAAAUCCCCGACCACAUAUAUAGUCGUAGUUUAGCGACUACUUUUGUGGUCGGAAUUUAGCGACCACAAUUGUAGUCGCUAAAUUACGACUACAAUGGUAGUCGGAGAUUUAGCGACUACUUUUGUAGUCGGAAAUUUAGAAACCAAUAUUUAGUCGGUAAAGUAGUCGGUGAACUUUACCAACUACUUUUUAGUCGUAAAUUUCUAAUGUUCCGACCAGAAGUUUUCCGACCACGUCAUACCGACUACUU